rnacentral:rRNA from 1 species
UACGUAGGGUGCAAGCGUUGUCCGGAAUUAUUGGCGUAAAGAGCUCGUAGGCGGUCUGUCGCGUCUGCUGUGAAAAUCCAGGGCUCAACCCUGGACCUGCAGUGGGUACGGGCAGACUAGAGUGCGGUAGGGGAGAUCGGAAUCCUGGUGUAGCGGUGAAAUGCGCAGAUAUCAGGAGGAACACCGGUGGCGAAGGCGGAUCUCUGGGCCGUAACUGACGCUGAGGAGCGAAAGCGUGGGGAGCGAACAGG